CCCCGUGCAUGAGUGGCGGACGGGUGAGUAACGCGUGGGCAACCUGCCCUGUACAGGGGGACAACACUUAGAAAUAGGUGCUAAUACCGCAUAACGGGGGGAGCCGCAUGGCACCCCCUGAAAACUCCGGUGGUACAGGAUGGGCCCGCGUCUGAUUAGCUGGUUGGCAGGGUAACGGCCUACCAAGGCGACGAUGCGUAGGGGUUCUGAGAGGAAGGUCCCCCACACUGGUACUGAGACACGGACCAGACUCCUACGGAAGGCAGCAG
rnacentral:rRNA from 1 species